rnacentral:rRNA from 1 species
UACAGAGGGUGCGAGCGUUAAUCGGAAUUACUGGGCGUAAAGCGCGCGUAGGCGGCUUUGCAAGUCGAUUGUGAAAUCCCCGGGCUCAACCUGGGAACUGCAUUCGAGACUGCAUUGCUAGAGUAUGGGAGAGGGAAGUGGAAUUUCAGGUGUAGCGGUGAAAUGCGUAGAUAUCUGAAGGAACAUCAGUGGCGAAAGCGACUUCCUGGACCAAUACUGACGCUCAUGUGCGAAAGCGUGGGGAGCAAACAGG